GCUCAGUGCUGGUGGUGUAGGGGUUUAGCAUGCGACCACAUAUAGAGGCUAUAGUCCUCAAAGCGGCUGUCCUGGAUUCGAGUCCCAGACUUGGCG